UACGUAGGGUGCAGGCGUUAAUCGGAAUUACUGGGCGUAAAGGGCGCGUAGGCGGCCUUCUAAGUCGAACGUGAAAUCCCCGGGCUCAACCCGGGAACUGCGUCCGAUACUGGAAGGCUUGAAUCCGGGAGAGGGAUGCGGAAUUCCAGGUGUAGCGGUGAAAUGCGUAGAUAUCUGGAGGAACACCGGUGGCGAAGGCGGCAUCCUGGACCGGCAUUGACGCUGAGGCGCGAAAGCCAGGGGAGCAAACGGG
rnacentral:rRNA from 1 species